GACGAACGCUGGCGGCGUGCCUAAUACAUGCAAGUCGAGCGGACUUUCAAGAAGCUUGCUUUUUGAAAGUUAGCGGCGGACGGGUGAGUAACACGUGGGCAACCUGCCUGUAAGACGGGGAUAACUCCGGGAAACCGGGGCUAAUACCGGAUAAUAUCUUUCUUCGCAUGAAGGAAGGUUGAAAGGCGGCGCAAGCUGCCGCUUGCAGAUGGGCCCGCGGCGCAUUAGCUAGUUGGUGAGGUAACGGCUCACCAAGGCGACGAUGCGUAGCCGACCUGGGAGGGUGAUCGGCCACACUGGGACGGAGACACGGCCCAGACUCCUACGGGAGGCAGCAGUAGGGAAUCUUCCGCAAUGGACGAAAGUCUGACGGAGCAACGCCGCGUGAGCGAAGAAGGUCUUCGGAUCGUAAAGCUCUGUUGUCAGGGAAGAACAAGUACCGUUCGAAUAGGGCGGUACCUUGACGGUACCUGACUAGAAAGCCACGGCUAACUACGUGCCAGCAGCCGCCGUAA
rnacentral:rRNA from 1 species